AUGUCGCAUGCAACCAACAAACUGAGUCUAACUCAAACUACGUACACCUAUAGACUGGGCACGGCCACGAACCGGUGCCCAUUUUCACCAGCAUGCACACUCGCCACGGCGCUCCAUCCCGCACAUCCCGCGCGCAUCCGACGAGCCCGACGAGCCCGACUACACCAGUGCGGCCCGCACGUCCCGCGCGCAUCCGACGCGCCCGACGGGUCCGACAACAAUAAACGCCGUGGCUUAUUCCAACACACGCCCCCUAAGCCACGGCCUCGCCAUCGCCGGAGUAGCUCAUGUCGAUGUCGUCGCCACGACCGUGACCCAGCUCGCGGACCUGACCUGGCGCACCGAAGGCCGGUCGCCACCGCCACAGACUCGACCUUGCAUGCUGACGCCGGUCACCGCCGUGCCUGCUGCACGUCCGUGGCCUCCUCGUCGCGCCCGCCGUGGCUCGCCGCGCCGUGUCUCUCGUGGUCGACGUUCCCGGCAGCCGUGCCACGGCCGCCGCCGCCUCCAUGCCGUCGUGCCGUGCCUCCACGCCUUCGUGCCAUGACGCGUCGCCGCCUCCGCGGCAUCCGCGCUCGCCGCACGUACAACGUCACCGCCCGCAUAUGCCUCCAUGUCGUCCGCGCACGCCGCGUCCGCCGCGGCCACCGCGGCCUCCUCGCCGCGCCGCGCACCUCCAUAGACCGACACAUAGCCCGGAGCUUCACCGCGCAGCCGCCGGCGAACGCCGCCACCGCCACCACCCCUCCGACACGGCAAGCACGCCCAAGACACCGAGCUCAUGAUACCAAAUGUUGCCGCCGCCUCCGCGCAGCGCUGUUCUUCUUCUUCCUCUCAUCUCUCAUGAACACACACCAUGGAGAAACUCUACAUACACACACACACACACCAAGGAAGAGCACAAGAGCUUUGCGUAGAGGCCCUGCCCCUUGGUGUACACGCGAUGGCUACAUUUUUCUCCAGCCCUCUCGGCUCUCCCUUUUCAUUAACUCAAUCCAAUGCUUAUAUACACAGGAAGAGGUUUGCCGCAUGCGCUAA
rnacentral:rRNA from 1 species